UACGAAGGGGGCUAGCGUUGCUCGGAAUCACUGGGCGUAAAGCGCACGUAGGCGGAUUGUUAAGUCAGGGGUGAAAUCCUGGAGCUCAACUCCAGAACUGCCUUUGAUACUGGCGAUCUCGAGUCCGGGAGAGGUGAGUGGUAACUGCGAGUGUAGAGGUGAAAUUCGUAGAUAUUCGCAAGAACACCAGUGGCGAAGGCGGCUCACUGGCCCGAUACUGACGCUGAGGUGCGAAAGCGUGGGGAGCAAACAGG
rnacentral:rRNA from 1 species